CCUCAGACCCUCUUUUCCCCCUCCUCAGCCAUAAGGCCAAUGCACACACUCUCAACUAGCUAUUAGCCACUUCCCUUUAUGCUGACUGGGGAUUGCGGGGUCGCUCUCUCUCUCUCCGUUCUGGUCCGCUCGCUGUUCAUUCCGUCAGCCUGGUUCCACUCCCGAUCUCUCUCGGCGUCACCCGAUCAGCCUCCGGGUUCUCAUUCACUCACCUCGAUCGGGUACCUGAACACACAGAGAAAAAGGGACAAAUAUCCCGUGGCCGCUGCCCCUGCCGCCGACGCCGCUUUUCCCUCCGGACUUGGACCACCGUGCCGUAGUCCACUCUCUUCAGGUCCAGUCGACAUUACCCUUGCAGCCAGCAGCAAAACCACUUUACAAAAAGUCCAAACGUUUAGUCCCUUCACAGCAUUUCAGGACACAUUUUCCCCAAGCAAGCACACCCAACAAACAGCAGCGGACAUCUUAAAUCCUACUUCAGCCCCACCCCAACUAGCUCG